rnacentral:rRNA from 1 species
GAUGAACGCUGGCGGCGUGCCUAAUACAUGCAAGUCGAGCGAACAGACGAGGAGCUUGCUCCUCUGACGUUAGCGGCGGACGGGUGAGUAACACGUGGAUAACCUACCUAUAAGACUGGGAUAACUUCGGGAAACCGGAGCUAAUACCGGAUAAUAUAUUGAACCGCAUGGUUCAAUAGUGAAAGACGGUUUUGCUGUCACUUAUAGAUGGAUCCGCGCCGCAUUAGCUAGUUGGUAAGGUAACGGCUUACCAAGGCGACGAUGCGUAGCCGACCUGAGAGGGUGAUCGGCCACACUGGAACUGAGACACGGUCCAGACUCCUACGGGAGGCAGCAGUGGGGAAUAUUCCGCAAUGGGCGCAAGCCUGACGGAGCCAUGCCGCGUGGGUGAAGAAGGUCUUCGGGUUGUAAAACCCUUUUAUUAGGGAAGAAAAAAAGUGGAAGUAAACAUCGCCGUUCUGACGGUACCCAAAGAGAAAGCCCCGGCUAACUACGUG